CAGCAGAACCUUCUCAGUUCUGGACCUAUGGACUGGGUCUAUCUAUGUCUGCAUCAUGGCUCCACAUAGAAAAGAACUGAACAGAAGAAGAGAAAAAUCUGACUGAGAGACUCGACAAAGAUGGAAAAAGAUCCAGGAAGAUCAGUGAGCAACUAAAAACCAGUGAAGCACAGAGUCAGCAGGAAUCAGGAGGUCUAGAAGGAGUCAUAGUACCACUAAUCAGGAGGUCUAGAAGGAGUCAUAGUAGCACUAAUCAGGAGGUCUAGAAGGAGUCAUAGUAGCACUAAUCAGGAGGUCUAGAAGGAGUCGUAGUACCACUAAUCAGGAGGUCUAGAAGGAGUCAUAGUACCACUAAUCAGGAGGUCUAGAAGGAGUCAUAGUUCCACUAAUCAGGAGGUCUAGAAGGAGUCAUAGUUCCACUAAUCAGGAGGUCUAGAAGGAGUCAUAGUUCCACUAAUCAGGAGGUCUAGAAGGAGUCAUAGUACCACUAAUCAGGAGGUCUAGAAGGAGUCAUAGUACCACUAAUCAGGAGGUCUAGAAGGAGUCAUAGUAGCACUAAUCAGGAGGUCUAGAAGGAGUCACAGUACCACUAAUCAGGAGGUCUAGAAGGAGUCAUAGUACCACUAAUAAGGAGGUCUAGAAGGAGUCAUAGUACCACUAAUCAGGAGGUCUAGAAGGAGUCAUAGUUCCACUAAUCAGGAGGUCUAGAAGGAGUCAUAGUUCCACUAAUCAGGAGGUCUAGAAGGAGUCAUAGUUCCACUAAUCAGGAGGUCUAGAAGGAGUCAUAGUACCACUAAUCAGGAGGUCUAGAAGGAGUCAUAGUACCACUAAUCAGGAGGUCUAGAAGGAGUCACAGUACCACUAAUCAGGAGGUCUAGAAGGAGUCAUAGUACCACUAAUCAGGAGGUCUAGAAGGAGUCAUAGUACCACUAAUCAGGAGGUCUAAAAGGAGUCAUAGUAGCACUAAUCAGGAGGUCUAGAAGGAGUCAUAGUACCACUAAUCAGGAGGUCUAAAAGGAGUCAUAGUAGCACUAAUCAGGAGGUCUAGAAGGAGUCAUAGUUCCACUAAUCAGGAGGUCUAAAAGGAGUCAUAGUAGCACUAAUCAGGAGGUAUAGAAGGAGUCAUAGUAGCACUAAUCAGGAGGUCUAAAAGGAGUCAUAGUACCACUAAUCAGGAGGUCUAGAAGGAGUCAUAGUAGCACUAAUCAGGAGGUCUAGAAGGAGUCAUAGUACCACUAAUCAGGAGGUCUAGAAGGAGUCAUAGUACCACUAAUCAGGAGGUCUAGAAGGAGUCAUAGUUCCACUAAUCAGGAGGUCUAAAAGGAGUCAUAGUUCCACUAAUCAGGAGGUGUAGAAGGAGUCAUAGUAGCACUAAUCAGGAGGUCUAGAAGGAGUCAUAGUAGCACUAAUCAGGAGGUCUAAAAGGAGUCAUAGUAGCACUAAUCAGGAGGUCUAGAAGGAGUCGUAGUUCCACUAAUCAGAGCUCCUAAAAUGACUCCACAGACAGUGAACUACUUCCACAAUCAAGCUGUAAAACAGACUUCAGCUGCUUCAGACUUGGAUCAGGGGUUCUCAAUGGAAACCAGAGUUAGUGUGAAGCUCAGACAGUGAGAAGGAACCUUCAGAACAUCAACCUCUAUGGACGGAGGACAAGAACUGGACCUGGUUGCUGCUCAGAACUAAACCUACAGAUACGUUUGCUGAAGAACUUGAGAAGAAGCCUGAUGGAUGUUGGAGAACAUUCUUUGGUCAGAUGAAGAUAAAUGAGUUCAGAUGGAGUCCAGAUGUUUGGUGUGAACCUGACCAGGACUACCACAAUGGAUGCAUGGUCCUGACAGUGAAGCAUGGAGAUGGAAGUGUGAUGACAUCCAAAGAACAUCAUCACACAAGAACUUCUCCACUGGAACAAAGUGGAACCAGGACCUGGACCGUGUGAACCCAACAGAACUUUUGUGGUAUUUUCCAGAGGAAGGUAGAGCAACACAACCCUUGAUACCACACCAGGAAGUUCUCACUAGUGUUCCAUCACCUCCACCUUUUCUAAUCUGUAAAAACUGAAUGACACUCGAUACCAAGAAGCCUUUCAGUCCUGCAUAUGAUUGAAUUUUACUGUCAUUAUUCCCUCUGAUUCCUCUCCUGUAGCGUCUCUUCUCUGUCUGCUCUGGUUAUAAAUGGAUGUUUCUGUCUGGACAGUGAGAUCCUGCAUGUGUGGUCAGUCGUGCUCCACUGACUCGUUGGACAAAGAACAGAGAAGCAGGACAGAUGGGAGGACGAGCAGAGAGAGAAGAGGACAUGGACAGAUGGGAAGUGAUGGAAGCAAAGAGAGAGGUGUGAAGUUCACACUCCAGAAAGACAAAACCACGGCGCUGAACCAGCCAGAAACAGGACGGUUCAGGGGUUACUGCAUGAGUCACGUAUUAGACAUUAUUCACUGUGAUAAAUUAAUAAUACAGUCAGAUCCUAACAGCAGUGUUCUGAAGCUGUUCUAGAGCCGAAAACGACAACGAACGUCACAACUGAUGCUGCAAACUGAACAAUAAAACUCUUGGAACCCA